rnacentral:rRNA from 1 species
GAGUUUGAUCGUGGCUCAGGAUGAACGCUGGCGGCGUGCUUAACACAUGCAAGUCGAACGAAGCACUCAGGAGCGAUUUCGGUCAAUCCUGUUUGACUGAGCGGCGGACGGGUGAGUAACGCGUGAGUAACCUACCUCGCAGUGGGGAAUAACAGUUGGAAACGACUGCUAAUACCGCAUAAUGCAGAGAGACCGCAUGAUCUUUCUGCCAAAGAUUUAUCGCUGUGAGAUGGACUCGCGUCUGAUUAGCUAGUUGGUGAGGUAACGGCUCACCAAGGCGACGAUCAGUAGCCGGACUGAGAGGUUGACCGGCCACAUUGGGACUGAGACACGGCCCAGACUCCUACGGGAGCAGCAGUGGGAAUAUGGCAAUGGGCGCAAGCCUGACCCAGCAACGCCGCGUGAAGG